CUUCCUAGUCUAAGGGUCAGAACAUGCAUUUAAGUGGCCGUGUCGGAUUUCUAUUCCAAUUGUGUCAUAACAUCACGAUGCUCACAUCAUAUCAUUCAACCUCCCACUGGCAUAACAGUAUAACCAAUUAACUAACAUUAUCAUGAUUUUAAGCUCUGAUUCUAGUAAGACUCAUUGUUAUGGUUAUAUGGUGUGUUUAGUCUCACCAAUUCAUUAUAUGCCUAAUAAUGUAACUAUUGUUACCGUAGCUUGCGUCAAUUCUAAAUGGCACGAAAUAAUACUUACUGGCUG
rnacentral:lncRNA from 1 species